GAUGAACGCUAGCGGCAGGCUUAAUACAUGCAAGUCGAGGGGCAGCACGGGUAGCAAUACCUGGUGGCGACCGGCAAACGGGUGCGGAACACGUACGCAACCUACCCAAAACUGAGGAAUAGCCCGGGGAAACCCGGAUUAAUACUUCGUAACAUAUUAGAGUGGCAUCACUUUAUAUUAUAGCUCCGGCGGUUUUGGAUGGGCGUGCGCCUGAUUAGGUAGUUGGCAGGGUAACGGCCACCAAGCCUACGAUCAGUAACUGGUGUGAGAGCACGACAGUCACACGGGCACUGAGACACGGGCCCGACUCCUACGGGAGGCAGCAGUAAGGAAUAUUGGUC
rnacentral:rRNA from 1 species